GGAGCUUGACUCGUGAGAGCGAGAUGUUGCAUGAAAAUCUCGCGCGUGAGAAAAUGAUUCAGAAUCGCGCGCGAGUUUGCUCACGCUGGAGCGGUUCAUGAGUCUGCUUUGAGUGUGAUUUUACCAACACUGCUUACGUCAGCUCCGCGUGUCGUUCUACACGGGGGUUCCUGACACGGUCCGGCGGUCGAUGAAUUCUGGUGGGACGAACGGGUCGACGAUGCGGCUACUUAAUGCUGACCUUGAACGAGAGUGGGAUUACCGGUGGCGGUGGCUUGAUGAGGGUUACUGCAGCACGUCGCGAAAUGUUCCUUAGCUAGCGGGUGCUUCAGUCUAAUCCGUCAACAGCACAAAUCGUAACACCUCGCCCACAAGCCCUCAACUGCACGGAUGGGAUUGCGAAUAACAAAACCGUUUACGUCCAUGUUCUACAAUCAAGUCAAUAUAUUUCUCGAAUUCUUUACAUCUGAUCACUUAUGACUAAAACUCAGUGAGUCCCAGCCUGGGAGUGUUGUUGAGAUUUCCGAAAGCAGGGUUUCGAUACCUGCUAUUACAACACUCUCGUCAUACUCAGUGCUUCCGCUGGCUUCCACCCACAUCGCCACCCGCUGCAGGUGACUACUGGACUCUCCACACCUUCAUUGCGCGUUGGCGUGCCGUGGCGCAAACCAGUCCAACAGUCGCGUUCCAUCCAUAAUCAGAGCUGAUCCUGCAAAAUUUUCCGUGUUAUAAAGUUUGUCGACCUUUGGUAAAUAGAAUUUUACUCACGAUUUCGGUCCAAGUUUUCUGUAUCCAAAUUGACAAAUAUAGAAUGCAUCACAACAAUUUUUUUCAAAAUCUUUGACAUUCGCGUAUUUCAAUGCUAAGUCGAUGGAAAAACAUAAAAAUGCAUUUGUAUACAUUAAAUGCAAAUCGAAUGCACAUUCAAAGAGUGAUCCGCCCCUUGGCAGUAGUACAAAUCAUUCAUUGUGAGGGUGACUUUGGCCCAUAUAAAAGCAAUGCAAUCAGUACGAGAACCCUACAAAUGUGAAUUAAAACAACUGAGAGUAUUCACUUUAUUUUAUGCAUAAAACGGUGCUUGUUUUAGAAAUUAAUGUGAGAUUCAUAUGCGAAUCAAAAAUGCACGCAUAUCUGUUUCUAGGUUGAUGAUUAGGAAAUAUUACUUUCGUCUUUUGAGAGAGCCAGUUUGAGUUAUAUCUAAGUGAUACACACUUAUUCUUUAUUUAGGAGUUCGGUAGUUUUUUCAACUGGACUCCAACUGUAAAUUACGAAAAAAGCGACAGUUCAGUGUUUUUGACUAACGAAUUCUGACCUUCGGUGAAUGAACAUCACAUUUUACUGGCUCCAGUAGAAUCAAGUACCGAACCCACAGUAAUGUUGAUAAUUUACCGAAUAAAGGAAAAGUCAGUAAAAACAAAGUACCGACUUUCAGUAGCUUUUGUUGGUUUACUGAGUUUUCCCUCAAACGGAACAUAAACAGCGCUUUCAAGCAGCUGUCAAAUAACAAUUGCAUCACCAGGCUCCGGCAACGGCUGAAUCAUUUGUUCCUUUGCUUACCGGAAUUUUCACUACUUUUGGCUGGAAAAAUGAGCAAUUGCUGCGUCUUCGAUAAACUGGGUAAGUAAGAAUUAUCAGCGACUAUUUUGCAUAUCUGCCUCGGCGGUUGUGUAUUUAAUGUUACAUUCUGCCGUCGGAAACAAACCACAUCUUGCUCCGCCAAGUUCAGACACAGGGCAAAUUUUGUCUGAUAGCCGCUGAUUUUUCUUUUUAUCCAGUGCUGUGGCAGGACAGAUUCUCAUGGCCACAGCGUUCCGAUGUAUAACUAUUGAUGCAUGCACUGAUGAUUAACCCAAAAUGGGUAAUGGAAAAAUCAAGGGAAACAUAGAUAGUUUGAAUCCCGAUGAGCUGGGUGCUGGAAGUAAAUAAACAAAUGCUGAAAAAGUCGGUAAAAAAUCCCUGAAAAUUUUACUGACUUUUUCGGUAAUGUUUGACAAAUAAGAAAUUUUUCAAAAUACCUACUUUUCGGUAAUGGAAAAAGUUACCGAGUAGUCAGCAGUUCAAAAACCCAGUAAAAAAGUACCGACGUCGGUAAUUGAUAUUAGCUGUGUAGCAGAUGUAUUGCAACGGAUCAUUGAUCUUAAUGAUUGUGAUCAAAUUUUCACGUUUGUUUGUCUGUGAUGUUAUUUUAAAGUGACUAUACACUGAUAGGUGGUGCGCAAGCAUCUAUAUACAGGGGAUGGCCAAAAUGUUUGGGAUAGGCAACUUUUUUUCUCCCAUAAAAAAAUUCAACAUGCUAUAACUUUUCAUAGAGUGCAUCAAAAAAUCUCAAAUUUUGAUUGUUUAUCAACCUGUUAUAUGUGCAUCAUUUGUACAAAUUUGGACUCGAUUGAAUAAUUUUUCGCGAAGUUAGAACCGUUCGGGUAAAACACUAUUUUUUGGACAACUCAUUUUUGAGCUGUUAUAUCUCGGAAACCAGUGAACCGAAUUGAAUGAAUUUUUUAACGUUUAUCAAUAAUGUAUUGAUACUUAAUACAACGUUAUAAAAUGUUAUAUUUUCUCACGAUGAAUUAAGUUAUACCGGGUUGAAAUUUUUACCUAUAUAGAGGAAAAUAAGUCAAAUUUACAAUACAACACAAAAAUUACUAAAUGUGUUAUUUAUUUAAUCUAAAUAGGCUCUAAUAAGUCUGAUUAAUGAUAACUUGAGAACAGAAGCGGAAAAUUUUUGGGCAUAAACACUCAAAUUUAUUGACAUUGACGUAAAUGCAUUUGAACAACGCAGAUUUAUGAUAUUUACUGAAAGAUGUUGAACAUUCACAAUCAAAUGAGCAUGUCGAAUAACAUUUGUAGAGAUUGUACUGUUAUAAAGGAAAUUUGAACACCCCUAAAAUAUUUUUUAUUAAAUUAUCUGAAACUUUAAGAUUUGGACAAGAGAUUGGUAAAAUAAUUUUGAAAAUCGAUUAAGUCAUCGCUGAGAUAUAGCCAAUUGAAAAUUUAAUUGCAACCAGGGAUGCCACAUAUACAGAUUUUUCUGUAAUCAUGCAGAUUUUCUCGUAGCUUUUCAUACAGAAUUCUGUAUACCAAUAUUACAGAUUUUUGAAAAUUAUACAGAAUAUACAGAUUUUCCAGAAACUUACAGAAUUUCAAACAGAUUUUCCACGAAAUAUUACAGAUUUCAUACAGAUUUUUGGCAAAAAAUGGUGAUACAGAUUAAAAAGAUUUUUGAAAGGCAAAAUACAGAUUUAAAUGUGGCAACACUGAUUGCAACUAACCACUGUUCCGGGAGCGCUAGGGAUGUUCAUGUUUUUUCUUUAGGCUUUCGAUGUGCAUUCAGUUAUCUUAAACUAUAUUCAUUUGAAUCACUAAGAUUUAUGAUGUUUACUGAAAUAUUUUGAACGUUUACAAUCAAAUGGGCACGCCCAAAAAAAAUUGUAUCAGUUGCACUUUUCUAUAGGGAAUUUGAACAUCCCUAGAAUGAUUUCUGUUCAGUUAUCUAAAACGUUAGGAUUCGGACAAGAGAUACAUAAAAAAAUGAAAAUCGGUUGAGCCAUCGCUGAGAUAUAGUCAUUUGAAGAUUGAGUUACAACUAAUUUUCGAUCACGGGGCUCCGCGUAACUUUUUUGAUCUCGUAAGUAACUUUUUUGAUAUGUAAGUUCUACAUGAAGUUCUACAGUGCGUCCUGCAACGGCUUCGUGGCACGAGCCGGUAUAUGCAAGGAUAAGGACGGAAGCCUCCAGACGGACGGGCGUGAGGUGAUUGAAAAGUGGAAGCAGCACUUCGAUCAGCAUCUGAAUGGCGUGGAGAACGUAGGCAACUGAGGAAACGACGACGCCAGUGCAGCGGAGGACGGAAAUGAACCAACUCCCACGCUGAGGGAAGUUAAGGAUGCCAUUCACCAGCUCAAAACCAACAAAGCAGCAGGUAACGAUGGUAUCGCAGCUGAACUCACCAAGAUGGGCCCAGAAAAUUUGGCCACCUGUCUGCAUCGGCUGAUAGUCAGGAUCUGGGAAACCGAACAGCUACCGGAGGAGUGGAAGGAAGGGGUAAUCUGCCCCAUUCACAAGAAAGGCGACCAUUUGGAAUAUGAGAACUUCAGGGCGAAAACCAUUUCGAAUGCCGCCUACAAAGUGCUAUCCCAGAACAUCUUCCGCUGUCUAUCACCUUAAGUAGAUUAGUUCGUGGGAAGUUGUCAAGCUGGUUUCAGCGACGGCCGGUCGACAAUGGACCAGAUCUUCACCGUACGGCAAAUGCUCCAUAUAUGCCGUGCAUAUCAGGUCCCAACGCAUCACCUGUUCAUCGACUUCAAUUCGGCAUACGUCAGUAUCGGCCGCACAGAGCUAUGGAAAAUCAUGGACUAGAACAGCUUUCCCGGGAAGCUUACCAGUCUGAUAAGAGCAAUGAUGGACGGGGUGCAAAACAGCAUAAGGAUUUCGGGUGAAUUAUCCAGUUCAUUCGAACCUCGCUGGGGACUGCGACAAGGUAAUGGACUUUCCUGCCUAAUAUUCAACAUCGCCCUCGAAGGUGUUAUGCGACGAGCCGGGCGCAACAGCCGGGGAAUAAUUUUCACAAAAUCCGUUCAAUUUGUGUGCUUUGCGGACGACAUGGAUAUUAUUGCCAGAACAUUUGGAACGGUGGCAGAGCUGUACACCCGCCUGACACACGAAGCAGCAAAGGUCGGACUGGUGGUAAAUGCCUCAAAAACAAAGUACAUGCUGAUAGGUGGAACCGACGUGGUGUAUUGACGGAACUGACGUCCGAGUAUUGAUGUGCUUACCGCAAUAUCCGGUCUAGUUGUCACGGCUAAAUACAAUAAACCGCCGAUGAGGCUCUGAUACAUCUCGUUGUUCAGCAGCCUGUCUCACUCCUCCUUUUGUUGGAUAUAGCCAGACUCCAUUGGAAUUCUGGAACAUUCUGCUUCUUGCAUUCCAAACCGUUCUGCCAGUUGCCGGAUGUAUGCAGUUUGGUUAAGGUAGUAGUUGUUUCCACGCUUCUCGAUCUCUAUUCCGAGGUCCUGAAGCGAUUUUCGAGGUUGAGAAACGAGAGCUUGUGACUGGCAUCAAAACUCAACCCUGUGGAAUCGAAGCGGUUUGCGAGUGCUGCGUCGAGGGAUAGAUAACCCGAAAUCCUUUUCCCAAGAAGGCCAUACAAAAUCAAAACCGAUCAUGGAUCUGGUGCAUAGCGACCAUAAUGGGUAGUACGCUGAUCGCAAGAAAUUUCUUGGCCUAUCUCGAUGCGUGAAAAUUCAGGCAAGGAAUCGCUCAAGAAAUAAUAAAGCGUCGCUUUAUUCCGGAACCUUGUUUUAAAUGGGCUAAAUGUAUUUUCAUACUUGUGCGUCUUGAGCAACGAACAAAGUUGAAGCCGAAAGCGAAGAAGAUGACGUUUGUUGGAUGCUCUCCACAGCACAAAGGAUACCGAAUGAUUGAUUUGAAGACCAAUACACGGAGAAACGAAAUAACUCAAAACUGAGAUUAAAAGAACUUAAAAUUAAGUACUCUGCCAACACUAUUGAAUUGAGUACAAUUUUGUUCUUGUUGUUGGAUACUUUUAACUUAAAGUUAAAGUUAAACUUAAAGGCACCUUUACUCAAAUCUGGGUUACCGAUAUUUGUGGCAAAAUCUGGGUAAACGGUACCCAGCUCCUCCGGGGCCUUUAUUUUGUUAAUUUAUUUUCAAUUAAGAUUUUUAAUUAAAAGCUCCCAACUUCCAUGUGAUGUUCACUUACCUGAUGCAGGAAAACAGUUCCCCGGUAUAAUUUAACUGUUUUCCCACCUUUUAUCGGCAUAUUUUUUUGCGAAAACAUUCAUAAUUUGCAGCGUUCUCUUGACCGCUGCCAUUUUCUUAAGCCGGAAAAUGACAAAGUGCCGAUUACCCAGAUCUUUACCCAGAUUCAACGAAUCUGGGUUUUCGCGUUACUCGGAUUUUGACAACUGCUAACAACAUAAAAAUCCGGGUCAAAUCGACCCAGUCGAUGGGUAGUUUCAGAUUAGCGUGUAUGGCGCAAAUACUUAGCUUUGAGUAAAUUUGGAGUUGAUAAUUUUGUUUUUUUUUUCGCUUCGAAAGUAUCCAAAAUUAGGUGUUGUUGCUAUACACGAUUUUGGGUGAAAAUUUUUAUCUGCGCCAUGUUGAUUUCAAGUUUGAUACUUGGUGAUCGUUUUGUCUGUUAAUUUCGGAAUCUUUCGUUACCAAAAAUGAGCCAAACGAAAAGCACGCCCCAUUUCCUGGAACAUUCCUGGACUUACACUUCGAACUACUUGAAAAGGAAAUGGUCACCUAUUCUUUCACUUUUUUAAUCACAGAUAAGAUCCAAGCAAUUUUCUUUCCGAGGGUUUCGGAUUUUUAAAAAAGACUGCACAUCAUGACAGUUGAGUCAAGACUAAUUUUAUUUCCACAGAAAAUUAAUAUCGAUCACACGAUCGGUUCUACUUAGUAACUACCCUUUGGACCUACGCACUGUUUCUGCUAACCUAAGCACUCAACGUUCGCGACUCGGUGCACUGACCGGUGUGCUGUCCGGGUCGCGUUUCCUUUAUGGUGGACGACCGUGGUUUGGUGCUAACUUCCAUACUGCAUUUAUUAAUUCAACGUAAUACUGAUGUUUUUCAUCAUUAUCAUCACAAACAGAACAUUCGACUGAUUUCCCGUUCGCUUCCCGCGCGAGUUCCGAUGAUGCAAACUCGGAUGCAAAAUGAUCACCAAACGCGACCGCUGCCGUAACCUAGAUCCGGAUGGCGUAUGCACCAGGCGAGAAUAUUUGUUAAUAAUAUGUCAUGUUAAUUUUAAAAUGGGUGAAGAAAAAUAAAAUUUAAACCUCGUUUGAAACCUA